rnacentral:lncRNA from 1 species
CUUUCAGAGAAAUAUUGAAGGAGUAAACUGGGUCUUCCAGCCUACAUCUUUCUCCCAUGCUGGAUGCUUCCUAACCUCAACAUUGGACUCCAAGUUCUUCAGCUUUGGGACUCCAGGACUCUUUGGGACUCUUCAACCACAGACUGAAGGCUGCACUGUCGGCUUCCCUAUUUUUGAGGUUUUGGGACUCAAACUGGCUUUCUUGCUCCUCAGCUUGCAGACGGCCUAUUGUGGGACUUCACCUUGUGAUCAUAAUUGCCCCCCUGGGGUCCUCUUGGCUUCUCUCUCCUGUCGUGGAACCAUGCCUCACAAAGCAAGGGCUGUUGGCCCAGAGUACUCUCUGCUUACUGCAUGAAAGAAGAACCUCUGAUUCAUGCAUGAGGCUGGAUGAAUGAAAGGAGCCCAUAGCUCUCCAUCAUACUCCCCUGAAACAUAGCCUCAGCAACAAGCUUCUAAGGGCAGAACGAGAAAUGAUGAAGCCCCGCUCCUCCUGGGAAGCAGAAAACUACAGCUGAAAGAUGGGGAGGAGUUUUGGAAUUUUCACCACUUACCAGUUAUUUUGGAGAGCUGAUCAGUAGAACGCCUCAUGCUGUCAUCAUAGAAGUUGAUCAAAGUAUUGUUUUCUUUCAGUCCACUAAUUAUAUUUUGUCCUCAAAUUAUAUUCUACCAAAAUUCUGUUUCACCAUAGUCCAAGUAUUUUAAAAAGUUUUCUUGCCCUGUUCUUAUUAUGCAAAACGUAAGAACUAUCCUUUUCCACCAUCUCUUUGAAAAAUCAAAUAUAAAACUGAAACACAAUUC